GAUUAAAUGUACAAAAACGAUGGGAAAGAAAGUUAUAGAAA
rnacentral:guide_RNA from 1 species